rnacentral:lncRNA from 1 species
AUGUGGUUUGAAGGCUUCGAUUGGGAAGGACUUCAGAAGGGCACGCUGACACCACCGCUGAAACCAAACGUUCCCCAUGUCUCGGAUUAUGGAGGAACAUCACUCCCGACAGAAACCUACACUGAAGCAACACCAUUGGAUGAUUCUGGCUGGGAUAUAGACUUUUGAGUUUUGCCACAGUGAUGGAUGAUGUAAACUGGGAAAAAAUAUUGGGACUUGUUCAUUCGACUUCAGUCCCUUACUUAUCAGAUGGUCAUCACAGCGGAAUGAACCGCCAACUAUUCCAGGAUAUGUUUUUCGCAGCGGAUACCGUGCUGCUACCCGGUACUGGGAAACAAUAUUGAGGCUUAAAUUUUGGAAACUUAUUGUGUUUUGCAUUUAUUUUUCAGAUGGGUGUUAAGCUGAAAACCAAUGCAAGCAAUGGACUUACAUUGCACUUCAAAUGUGCCGAUAUGCAAUGGUGGAAGAUUCCUGAAGCAUUUAUUUCAUAUGGAAAACAUUUUGAAGAAUUAUAAAGAUAUUUUUCUUUUAGAUUCAAAAGUUUUGGAAAGUUUAGAUUACUUGUGAACUCAUUUUAAGGAUACAACCCACUAUGAUGACAUUGUCAAAGAAUUGCAUUGAAAAGAAAUAUAUUUUAUUAGCUGUCCCAAUGAGAAAUGCCCAAUAGUGAAAUAUAAUAUCAAAAGAAUCUAAUAUUUUAGUUUGUAAUCAGGAUCAUUUUAAGCAAAAUACCAAUUGUCAGCUUUGUCAUGAAAAUGUUAAUUUUUGUUAUUACUAAAUGGCAAAUAAAAUAUAUUUGCAAAUAAAACGGGACAUGACAGAAUGUAUGUGCAGAAGCAUAUUGUGUGUGAUGAAUACGGGGAGUAUUGGAUUAUAAUAAAAACUUUCUUUUUUCUUUUCUUUUUUUUAUUAACAUAAGU